rnacentral:rRNA from 1 species
ACAAGCGGUGGAGCAUGUGGUUUAACUCGACGCAACGCGCAGAACCUUACCUAGACUUGACAUCCCGGGGAUUUUCUGGAAACAGAGAAGUGCUUUAGCAAUAAAGAACCCGGUGACAGGUGCUGCAUGGCUGUCGUCAGCUCGUGCCGUGAGAUGUUGGGUUAAGUCCCGCAACGAGCGCAACCCUCGCCUUUAGUUGCCAGCAUUCAGUUGGGCACUCUAGAGGGACUGCCGGUGUCAAACCGGAGGAAGGUGGGGAUGACGUCAAGUCCUCAUGGCCUUUAUGUCUAGGGCUACACACGUACUACAAUGGCCGGUACAAAGGGCAGCCACUCAGCGAUGGGGCGCUAAUCCCAUAAAGCCGGUCUCAGUCCGGAUCGCAGUCUGCAACUCGACUGCGUGAAGUUGGAAUCGCUAGUAAUCGUAGAUCAGCAUGCUACGGUCGAAUACGUUCCCGGGCCUU